GGCUAGAUGGCUGAGUGGUUAAGGUGCUAGUUUCAGGUUUUGUCUCACCUACUAGCCUGGAUAGGUGUGGGUUCAAAUCCCACUCCAAUCA